rnacentral:rRNA from 1 species
CCUAGCGGCAGACGGGUGCGCAACAUGUGGGUAUCUACCCUUUGGCCUGGAAUAACACGGGGAAACUUGUGCUAAUACCGGAUAAGUCUUUACGGAGAAAGCUUUAUGCACCAUUGGAUGAGCCCGCACUUGAUUAGCUAGUUGGUAAGGUAAUGGCUUACCAAGGCAACGAUCAAUAGCUGUUCUUAGAGGAAGACCAGCCACAUUGGGACUGAGACACGGCCCAGACUCC